ACAAUGGUAGUUCAGUAGCAGAAGUCUUGCAUUCCAUACGGGAGACCCAGGUUUGAUUCCUGGCCAAUGCA
rnacentral:tRNA from 1 species